GCUAAACAGACCAUUGAACGCGGUCUGAUGAGUCGAGCAUAAUGGUCCAAACAAACAACCGAAUUAAUGUCAUGGAUAGUGUUCACCGUCCAACCCCAUUUGGUCAAGAAAGGCAACCUAGUGGAACCAACAAGAAAGCCUUGUGGGCCAAGGUUUUUGGGCAAAAAGACUUUCACCAGAAUCCCGACUGAUGGAUAAGGCAUGUCAACAAUAUAAUUAAGAAAUUAAUUAUCCCAAUACUCCAAAAGAAUACAUUUAUAAUAAGUUGAUACAGCACCAGAUAAUGGUAAUGACCACCCACCUCCCUUGAUGUAUUAUCUAUAAUUUGCCUCUGAUUUCUCUCUCUGCAGUAACCGCCUCUUCCUCUUUAGAUAUGGAA
rnacentral:misc_RNA from 1 species